rnacentral:rRNA from 1 species
AGUAACACGUGGAUAACCUACCUAUAAGACUGGGAUAACUUCGGGAAACCGGAGCUAAUACCGGAUAAUAUCUUGAACCGCAUGGUUCAAAAGUGAAAGACGGUCUUGCUGUCACUUAUAGAUGGAUCCGCGCUGCAUUAGCUAGUUGGUAAGGUAACGGCUUACCAAGGCAACGAUGCAUAGCCGACCUGAGAGGGUGAUCGGCCACACUGGAACUGAGACACGGUCCAG